rnacentral:rRNA from 1 species
GACGAACGCUGGCGGCGUGCUUAACACAUGCAAGUCGAACGGAAAGGCCCUGCUUUUGUGGGGUGCUCGAGUGGCGAACGGGUGAGUAACACGUGAGUAACCUGCCCUUGACUUUGGGAUAACUUCAGGAAACUGGGGCUAAUACCGGAUAGGAGCUCCUGCUGCAUGGUGGGGGUUGGAAAGUUUCGGCGGUUGGGGAUGGACUCGCGGCUUAUCAGCUUGUUGGUGGGGUAGUGGCUUACCAAGGCUUUGACGGGUAGCCGGCCUGAGAGGGUGACCGGCCACAGUGGGACUGGGGUACGGCCCAGACUCAUACGGGAGGCAGGAGCGGGGAAUAUUCCACAAUGGGCGGAGGCCUGAAGGAGGAACGCCGGGUGCGGGAGGACGGCCUUCGGGUUGUAAACCGCGUUCACCUGUGACGAAGCGUGAUUGACGGUAAUGGGUAAAGAAGCACCGGCUAACUACGU